rnacentral:rRNA from 1 species
UACGGAGGGUGCGAGCGUUGUCCGGAAUCAGUCGUGGGCGUAAAGGGCGGCGUGAGGCGCUCCGGCAGUCUGUGGUGAAAGCCCAGGGCUCAACUCUGGGUCGGCCACGGAUACUUCCGGGGCUGGAGCACACUAGAGGCGGAUGGAAUUCCGGGUGUAGCGGUGGAAUGCGUAGAGAUCCGGAAGAACACCGGUGGCGAAGGCGGUCCGCUGGGGU